GAUGAACGCUGGCGGCGUGCCUAAUACAUGCAAGUCGAGCGAACGGACGAGAAGCUUGCUUCUCUGAUGUUAGGGGCGGACGGGUGAGUAACACGUGGAUAACCUACCUAUAAGACUGGGAUAACUUCGGGAAACCGGAGCUAAUACCGGAUAAUAUUUUGAACCGCAUGGUUCAAAAGUGAAAGACGGUCUUGCUGUCACUUAUAGAUGGAUCCGCGCUGCAUUAGCUAGUUGGUAAGGUAACGGCUUACCAAGGCAACGAUGCAUAGCCGACCUGAGAGGGUGAUCGGCCACACUGGAACUGAGACACGGUCCAGACUCCUACGGGAGGCAGCAGUAGGGAAUCUUCCGCAAUGGGCGAAAGCCUGACGGAGCAACGCCGCGUGAGUGAUGAAGGUCUUCGGAUCGUAAAACUCUGUUAUUAGGGAAGAACAUAUGUGUAAGUAACUGUGCACAUCUUGACGGUACCUAAUCAGAAAGCCACGGCUAACUACGUG
rnacentral:rRNA from 1 species